rnacentral:rRNA from 1 species
AUGGGUGUGCGCCUCAGCGACAUGCUCAUCUCACCAUCCCAUCUCAAACACUCGUUCGAGAUCAUCGUGAACAACUUCCUCCUCCUCGUCGCCACACCGGCCAUGGCCCUCGUCGUUCUUCGUAAAGCCGCGCAGCUCGGACCCGGCGAGAUCCUCUCCCGCCUCCAUGGCUUGUGGCAGGUUCACGUUUCGCUGGCAGUGUUCCUUCCAUUCGCCUUGGCCACCCUCUACCUCAUGAGUCGCCCUCGCAGCGUCUACCUCGUCGACUACGCUUGCUGCCGGCCUAAAUCCAGUUGCCGCGUAUCCAUAGCCUCCGCCACCGAGAAUGCUCGCUUUUCGCUCGAUGAUGGCGGUCACCAGUUCAUGGCGCGCAUGCUCAAGCGCUCGGGCCUCGGUGACCAGACUUACGUCCACCCUUCGUUGCACUACAUUCCGCCGCGCUCCAGCUUAAGUUCAUGCAGUGACGAAGCGGAGCAGGUCAUCUUUGCGGCCGUCGACGACCUGCUCGCCAAGACGGGCAUAAGUCCUGAGGCGAUCGACAUACUCGUCACCAACUGCACCACCUUCAACCCAACGCCGAGCUUGGCUGACACCAUCGUGAACAGGUACAAGCUCAGAGCCGACAUCCGGAGCGUGCACAUCUCCGGCAUGGGGUGCAGCGCCGGGGUGAUCUCCUUGGAGGUGGCGAGGAACCUCCUGCACGCGGCGCCCCGUGGCGCGCGCGCCCUAAUGGUGUCCACGGAGUCCACCUCGCUGGUCAACUAUACGGGGAAGAACCGCGCGAUGCUGCUGCCUGCCGCCUUGUUCCGCAUGGGAGCGGCUGCGGUGCUGCUGUCGACGUCCACAUCCAUGUCCCGGUUCCGGCUCACGCACAUCGUGCGGACGAUCACCGCCGCGCAAGACAGAGCGUACCGGUGCGCGUACCAAGAAGAGGACGACGUGGGGGAGAUGGGAAUAAACCUGUCCAAGGAGCUCGUGGCUGUCGCCGGCGACACGCUUCAGGCCAACAUCGUCGGAAUGGGGUCCCUCGUACUCCCACCAUCGGAGAAGCUGCUCUUUGCGCUCUCGUUCGUUGCACUUAAGGUUUUCAACAAGAAGAUGAAGCUAUACGUCCCCGAUUUCCGCACGGCCUUCCAGCACUUUUGCAUCCAUUGUGGUGGCCGGGCUGUGAUCGACGCGGUGCAAACUACCUUACGCUUAUCGGAUGAGAAUAUUGAGCCAUCGCGGAUGACGCUGCACCGGUUCGGGAACACAUCUAGCAGUUCGUUAUGGUACGAGCUUGCAUACAUCGAGGCGAAGAGACGGAUGUGCAAGGGCGACCGGGUGUGGAUGGUUGGGUUCGGUUCUGGGUUCAAGUGCAACAGCGCCGUGUGGCAGUGCAUCAGGCCGGCCAGCAACACCGAUAUUGGCACGCCUUGGGCUGAUUCUAUCCAUAUGUAUCCGUUGAACAUCUCUCGAAAGUAA